UACGAAGGGGGCUAGCGUUGCUCGGAAUCACUGGGCGUAAAGGGUGCGUAGGCGGGUCUUUUAAGUCAGGGGGUGAAAUCCUGGAGCUCAACUCCAGAACUGCCUUUGAUACUGAGGAUCUUGAGUUCGGGAGAGGUGAGUGGAACUGCGAGUGUAGAGGUGAAAUUCGUAGAUAUUCGCAAGAACACCAGUGGCGAAGGCGGCUCACUGGCCCGGUACUGACGCUGAGGCACGAAAGCGUGGGGGAGCAAACAGG
rnacentral:rRNA from 1 species